AGAGUUUGAUCCUGGCUCAGGAUGAACGCUAGCUACAGGCUUAACACAUGCAAGUCGAGGGGCAGCGGGGUUGAAGCUUGCUUCAACCGCCGGCGACCGGCGCACGGGUGAGUAACACGUAUCCAACCUGCCGAUAACUCCGGGAUAGCCUUUCGAAAGAAAGAUUAAUACCGGAUGGCAUAGUUUUCCCGCAUGGAAUAACUAUUAAAGAAUUUCGGUUAUCGAUGGGGAUGCGUUCCAUUAGGCAGUUGGCGGGGUAACGGCCCACCAAACCGACGAUGGAUAGGGGUUCUGAGAGGAAGGUCCCCCACAUUGGAACUGAGACACGGUCCAAACUCCUACGGGAGGCAGCAGUGAGGAAUAUUGGUCAAUGGACGAGAGUCUGAACCAGCCAAGUAGCGUGAAGGAUGACUGCCCUAUGGGUUGUAAACUUCUUUUAUACGGGAAUAAAGUUAGCCACGUGUGGUUUUUUGCAUGUACCGUAUGAAUAAGGAUCGGCUAACUCCGUGCCAGCAGCCGCGGUAAUACGGAGGAUCCGAGCGUUAUCCGGAUUUAUUGGGUUUAAAGGGAGCGUAGGCGGGGUAUUAAGUCAGUUGUGAAAGUUUGCGGCUCAACCGUAAAAUUGCAGUUGAUACUGGA
rnacentral:rRNA from 1 species